GGGAAAAGUAGCAAUCAAAUCUGAAACAGGGAAGCUCAGUAAACAUUAGGGAAGUGCUACAUCCCAAGGGAGUUUAAUGUAGGCGCAAGCAAUUUCACAGCUCGAAGUGGAACCAAAUCAAAAUACUAAUAAUAGUUGUAAUAAUCUCCAUAAGCUAACCUCGAUAACAACGAGAACAACUUUUGGAUGUUUUGAUUUUGACAACUUGAAGUGAAAGACAAAGUCCCUUAGAUGUUCGUUAACA
rnacentral:misc_RNA from 1 species